AUUGAACGCUGGCGGCAGGCUUAACACAUGCAAGUCGAGCGGGGUGAUGGUGCUUGCACUAUCACUUAGCGGCGGACGGGUGAGUAAUGCUUAGGAAUCUGCCUAUUAGUGGGGGACAACAUCUCGAAAGGGAUGCUAAUACCGCAUACGUCCUACGGGAGAAAGCAGGGGAUCACUUGUGACCUUGCGCUAAUAGAUGAGCCUAAGUCGGAUUAGCUAGGUGGUGGGGUAAAGGCCUACCAAGGCGACGAUCUGUAGCGGGUCUGAGAGGAUGAUCCGCCACACUGGGACUGAGACACGGCCCAGACUCCUACGGGAGGCAGCAGUGGGGAAUAUUGGACAAUGGGGGGAACCCUGAUCCAGCCAUGCCGCGUGUGUGAAGAAGGCCUUAUGGUUGUAAAGCACUCUAAGCGAGGAGGAGGCUCUUUUGGUUAAUACCCAAGAUGAGUGGACGUUACUCGCGGAAUAAGCACCGGCUAACUCUGUGCCAGCCGCCGCCGUAA
rnacentral:rRNA from 1 species